ensembl:snRNA U2 U2 spliceosomal RNA
AUAAUUUUUUUUAAAAAAUCUGUUCUUAUCAGUUUAAUAUCUGAUACGUCCCCUAUCUGGGGACUACAUAUUAAAUUGAUUUUUGGAUCACUGUGCUGGACCUGGGACUUGCUCUGUCCACUCCACACAUCGGCCUGGUAUUGCAGUGUCUCCAGGAACAGUGUGCUUCCC